UACGUAGGUGGGCAAGCGUUAUCCGGAUUUAUCGUGGGUGUAAAGGGCGGUCGUAGGCGGGAAAGCAAGUCGAGAUGUGAAACCACGGGCUCAACCUGUGGCUGCAUUUGAAACUGUUUUCUUGAGUACUGGAGAGGCAGACGGAAUUCCUAGUGUAGCGGUGGAAAUGCGUAGAUAUUAGGAGGAACACCAGUGGCGAAGGCGGUCUGCUGGACAGCAACUGACGGCUGAGGCGACGAAAGGCAUGGGUAGCGAACAGG
rnacentral:rRNA from 1 species